rnacentral:rRNA from 1 species
UUAAAGAAUGUCAUCAAUAGGAACUUGUUUCCUAUAAAAAUUAUACAACUUUCAGCAACGGAUCUCUUGGCUCUCGCAUCGAUGAAGAACGCAGCGAAAUGCGAUAAGUAAUGUGAAUUGCAGAAUUCAGUGAAUCAUCGAAUCUUUGAACGCACCUUGCGCUCCUUGGUACUCCGAGGAGCAUGCCUGUUUGAGUGUCAUUAAAUUAUCAACCUUCCAACUUUUAUUAGCUUGGUUAGGCUUGGAUGUGGGGGUUGCAGGCUUCAUUAGUGGGGUCAGCUCUCCUUAAAUGCAUUAGUGGAACUUUUGUAGACCAUUUAUUGGUGUGAUAAUUAUCUAUGCCGUGAAUGUGAAGCAGCUUUAUAAAGUUCAGCUUCUAACCGUCCAUUGGAUUGGACAACUUUGACAAUUUGGCCUCAAAUCAGGUAGGACUACCCGCUGAACUUAAGCAUAUCA